rnacentral:rRNA from 1 species
AUGCAAGUCGAACGAAGUAGCAAUACUUAGUGGCAGACGGGUGAGUAACAUGUAGGUAUCUGCCCUUUGGCCUGGAAUAACACGAGGAAACUUGUGCUAAUACCGGAUAAGUCUUUACAGAGAAAGCUUUAUGCACCAUUGGAUGAGCCUGCACUUGAUUAGUUUGUUGGUGGGGUAAUGGCCUACCAAGACUGUGAUCAAUAGCUGAUUUGAGAGGAUGAUCAGCCACAUUGGGACUGAGACACGGCCCAAACUCCUACGGGAGGCAGCAGUGGGGAAUCUUGCACAAUGGAGGAAACUCUGAUGCAGCGAUGCCGCGUGAGUGAAGAAGGCCUUUGGGUUGUAAAGCUCUUUCGUCGGGGAAGAAAAUGACUGUACCCGAAUAAGAAGGUCCGGCUAACUUCGUGCCAGCAGCCGCGGUAAUACGAAGGGACCUAGCGUAGUUCGGAAUUACUGGGCUUAAAGAGUUCGUAGGUGGUUGAAAAAGUUGGUGGUGAAAUCCCAGAGCUUAACUCUGGAACUGCCAUCAAAACUUUUCAGCUAGAGUAUGAUAGAGGAAAGCAGAAUUUCUAGUGUAGAGGUGAAAUUCGUAGAUAUUAGAAAGAAUACCAAUUGCGAAGGCAGCUUUCUGGAUCAUUACUGACACUGAGGAACGAAAGCAUGGGUAGCGAAGAGGAUUAGAUACCCUCGUAGUCCAUGCCGUAAACGAUGUGUGUUAGACGUUGGAAAUUUAUUUUCAGUGUCGCAGCGAAAGCGAUAAACACACCGCCUGGGGAGUACGACCGCAAGGUUAAAACUCAAAUGAAUUGACGGGGACCCGCACAAGUAGUGGAGCAUGUGGUUUAAUUCGAAGAUACGCGCAGAACCUUACCAACACUUGACAUGUUCGUCGCGACUUUAAGAGAU